UAGAGUUUGAUCGUGGCUCAGAUUGAACGCUGGCGGCAGGCUUAACACAUGCAAGUCGAACGAUGAUUAUCUAGCUUGCUAGAUAUGAUUAGUGGCGGACGGGUGAGUAACAUUUAGGAAUCUGCCUAGUAGUGGGGGAUAGCUCGGGGAAACUCGAAUUAAUACCGCAUACGACCUACGGGUGAAAGGGGGCGCAAGCUCUUGCUAUUAGAUGAGCCUAAAUCAGAUUAGCUAGUUGGUGGGGUAAAGGCCCACCAAGGCGACGAUCUGUAACUGGUCUGAGAGGAUGAUCAGUCACACCGGAACUGAGACACGGUCCGGACUCCUACGGGAGGCAGCAGUGGGGAAUAUUAGACAAUGGGGGAAACCCUGAUCCAGCCAUGCCGCGUGUGUGAAGAAGGCCUUUUGGUUGUAAAGCACUUUAAGCAGGGAGGAGAGGCUAAUGGUUAAUACCCAUUAGAUUAGACGUUACCUGCAGAAUAAGCACCGGCUAACUCUGUGCCAGCAGCCGCGGUAAUACAGAGGGUGCGAGCGUUAAUCGGAAUUACUGGGCGUAAAGCGAGUGUAGGUGGCUCAUUAAGUCACAUGUGAAAUCCCCGGGCUUAACCUGGGAACUGCAUGUGAUACUGGUGGUGCUAGAAUAUGUGAGAGGGAAGUAGAAUUCCAGGUGUAGCGGUGAAAUGCGUAGAGAUCUGGAGGAAUACCGAUGGCGAAGGCAGCUUCCUGGCAUAAUAUUGACACUGAGAUUCGAAAGCGUGGGUAGCAAACAGGAUUAGAUACCCUGGUAGUCCACGCCGUAAACGAUGUCUACUAGCCGUUGGGGUCCUUGAGACUUUAGUGGCGCAGUUAACGCGAUAAGUAGACCGCCUGGGGAGUACGGCCGCAAGGUUAAAACUCAAAUGAAUUGACGGGGGCCCGCACAAGCGGUGGAGCAUGUGGUUUAAUUCGAUGCAACGCGAAGAACCUUACCUGGUCUUGACAUAGUGAGAAUCCUGCAGAGAUGCGGGAGUGCCUUCGGGAAUUCACAUACAGGUGCUGCAUGGCUGUCGUCAGCUCGUGUCGUGAGAUGUUGGGUUAAGUCCCGCAACGAGCGCAACCCUUUUCCUUAUUUGCCAGCGGGUUAAGCCGGGAACUUUAAGGAUACUGCCAGUGACAAACUGGAGGAAGGCGGGGACGACGUCAAGUCAUCAUGGCCCUUACGACCAGGGCUACACACGUGCUACAAUGGUAGGUACAAAGGGUUGCUACCUAGCGAUAGGAUGCUAAUCUCAAAAAGCCGAUCGUAGUCCGGAUUGGAGUCUGCAACUCGACUCCAUGAAGUCGGAAUCGCUAGUAAUCGCGGAUCAGAAUGCCGCGGUGAAUACGUUCCCGGGCCUUGUACACACCGCCCGUCACACCAUGGGAAUUUGUUGCACCAGAAGUAGGUAGUCUAACCGCAAGGAGGACGCUUACCACGGUGUGGCCGAUGACUGGGGUGAAGUCGUAACAAGGUAACC
rnacentral:rRNA from 1 species